rnacentral:lncRNA from 1 species
CACCAUCAUGGAUCUAACCAUCUUUAAUCGAGUUCUAUUCAUUUACUUUGCAAUACCAUUUUGCUAUGGACUAUUAGGAAUAGUCAGCAGUCCAGCUAUACCUUUUUCAUCAUUAAGCAUGUUAACUUGCUUGGAUAGAUACUUGAACCUUCGGUACAUUCUUAAUACUUAAAUUCUUUAGUUUUACUGAUUCUCAAUCUAACUCAUUUCUGCCUCAGGCAGUUCAAUGCUUCUAACUUAGG